GACGAACCGUGCGAACGUUAUUCGGAAUCACUGGGCUUAAAGGGCGCGUAGGCGGGCGGCCAAGUCAGGGGUGAAAUCGUUCGGCCCAACCGGACAAGGGCCCCUGAUACUGGCUGUCUCGAGGGAGGUAGGGGUCGAUGGAACUUCCGGUGGAGCGGUGAAAUGCGUAGAUAUCGGGAGGAACACCAGUGGCGAAGGCGAGUCUCUGGGAUGAUGCUGACGCUGAGGCGCGAAAGCCAGGGGAGCAAACGGG
rnacentral:rRNA from 1 species